GACGAACGCUGGCGGCGUGCUUAACACAUGCAAGUGGAGCGACGAACCGGGGCUUGCCCCGGGGCAGAGCCGCGAACGGGUGAGUAACACGUGGGUAACCCACCUCGAUGACUGGGACAACCCGAGGAAACUCGGGCUAAUACCAGAUGUGAUCCUUUUCCGUAAGGAAAAUGAUGAAAGAUAGCUUCGGCCUUCGCAUCGAGACGGGCCCGCGGCCCAUUAGCUUGUUGGUGGGGUAACGGCCUACCAAGGCAUCGAUGGGUAGCUGGUCGUGAGAGGACGAUCAGCCACACUGGGACUGAGACACGG
rnacentral:rRNA from 1 species